rfam:Anopheles dirus strain WRAIR2 unplaced genomic scaffold supercont1.56, whole genome shotgun sequence.
AAUAAACCUGGUUCUGCAACGGGGUAGGAUCCGAAGCCUCUUGCAGGUUAACACAGGCUCUCCUACUCAACUCCUAUUCCGACACGUCCUCGUCGUGCAGAGUGGCAGCACACAUCAUCAAUUAAUCCAAGCUUGGGUAUACGGGUUUGUCCCACCCCCUUGGGCGGAUGAUGAUAUGUGGCAAAAGAGGAGGGN